UGAGUCUUCAGAUUCAAAACAACUAACAUCUCUUUUUGAAAGACGAGACUGCAUUGACACCCCUGCUGAUGUGGACAGUUUAUGACUACAGCUUUCCGAUUCUGUGGAAAAGCUAUCACUUCCGUCAAGAUCAAGCAAUUCAUCCUCACAGUUGCUCCUAGUAAGAAUCCCUACGAUUUCUUCCUCAAUGCUACCACAACAUCUUGCCAUUUUCUUUGUAAAAUACAGUACGCGAAAAACACUGAAGUAAAUUCUGAUAAACAGUGAACUGUAGUGUGAAGGCUAGGCACACAACAGACAGAGAAUCAGACGACAAGCUUGUGGCAGAACUGCAAAAUGCUACUGAGACAUGGGGCGUGAAUUCCGCUGUGCGAGUUAUCCUGUCAUCAGCACUCAGGUAGCGGCAGUACUCGUCAUCAGCACUCGGGUAGCGGCAGUACUCGUCAUCAGCACUCGGGUAGCGGCAGUACUCGUCAUCAGCACUCGGGUAGCGGCAGUACUCGUCAUCAGCACUCGGGUAGCGGCAGUACUCGUCAUCAGCACUCGGGUAGCGGCAGUACUCGUCAUCAGCACUCGGGUAGCGGCAGUACUCGUCAUCAGCACUCGGGUAGCGGCAGUACUCGUCAUCAGCACUCGGGUAGCGGCAGUACUCGUCAUCAGCACUCGGGUAGCGGCAGUACUCGUCAUCAGCACUCGGGUAGCGGCAGUACUCGUCAUCAGCACUCGGGUAGCGGCAGUACUCGUCAUCAGCACUCGGGUAGCGGCAGUACUCGUCAUCAGCACUCGGGUAGCGGCAGUACUCGUCAUCAGCACUCGGGUAGCGGCAGUACUCGUCAUCAGCACUCGGGUAGCGGCAGUACUCGUCAUCAGCACUCGGGUAGCGGCAGUACUCGUCAUCAGCACUCGGGUAGCGGCAGUACUCGUCAUCAGCACUCGGGUAGCGGCAGUACUCGUCAUCAGCACUCGGGUAGCGGCAGUACUCGUCAUCAGCACUCAGAGUGUGGCAAACGGGUGCGACGUAACUCUUCAACAGCACUCAGUGGAAAACCAGCUGACAUGACUGUAAUUGUCAUCAGCACUCAGGGAGCGGCAACCAACAUGAUGAGUAAACUCGUCAACAGCAGUAAAAUGGUCAAGGAACAUCUCAUUCUCAUUUGCAUGAUCCAAAAGCUCUUCAGAGGUUUGAGGCGAAGGUCUUUCUGGUCUUGACUCAUGAUCCAUGGGAUAAACUUGGUGGCAACAAAAGGCGUUCCAAGAAUCUGUGUCAAGAUUUCAUGACAUGAUCCAUCUGAAAUGUUACAUUUUUCUGCAAUCUCUCGGGCAGUCAGCAUUUGAUUGCCAUGCCUGAUUUCAUUGACAUUCCUGAUGUGAACGUCAUCGGUAGACGGCAUCCUCAGUGAGGGUCCUCUUUAACUUAUGCCCGGCCAUUUUUAAACCAUGUGAACCAUUUGAAACACUGAGAACGGGUUGUGCACUAAUCAUUGUAGGCUUCCUGCAUCAUUUGGUGUGCCUCUGCAAAGGUUUUCUUGAGUUUCACGCAAAAUUUAUUGCCGAUGCAUUGCUCCUCUUAACUGCCGUCUCAAAAUUCGCAAACUGUGUGGCACAAUGUUCUACUCAGUGCAGCACUGAACAGUAACUAAUGGACAUACAACAAUGAAACUUGCAGCAGUUACACAUUAAACACAGGCGUGUGCAAGGAUGCCAACCAUAUAUCACCUCAACACACGAUUGGCAUGAAAGUAAGAAUGUUCCUGAAUUUUUUGAAUGGGCCUCAUAUUAGUUUGGUUAUUAGAUUAUCUUGUAUCGUAUCUACUUUCCAGGACAAUCUUUUCUUCUUUUUUAGUUGUGUAGAAUUUGAUUAGUUUAAUCACCUGUAUUUCGCUUUUUUACCAUACCAUUCAUAAGCCACACACACAACUUUACAUUACCUCAGAUUUUAUGCUAUCUUAUAGUUGGUUGGUUUCCUUCUUCUAAAGAUAGUUUAGAGGCAUGCACAGCAGUUGUAAUGACUUCAUGUAUUUAUACACUGCUUAAGGUGUGUUAUAUAUUGCUUACUGAUUUUUUUUUUUUAUGGUGUUUUCGAAGUUGCAGGAGAUUAGCGGUUUUCUUUUUAUAUUAGCCUUAUUGGCUGUAGAAAUAUGAAGAAGUUACUAAUGUAAAAUGAAUUUGCUUGUCUACAUUCACAUACAUUUGAUGAAAGUAUUUAUAUUUUUAUGUUUUUCUCAAAUACUUUCCAAUCUAAUUUUCUUCAGCAUUCACAUAGUCCACAAAUUUUAUCGAAAAAUUGUGUUUAAAUGUUCAAAGUUCUAUAGCUGUAAUUUAUAAAAUUCUGUUUGAAAUAAAUAGGCAACAGAUUUGAGGAUCUCAGCAAAAAAUUUAAUGUUAUGAAUCAAUAUUGACUAAGCUUCUGAAUUAAAGUGAACUCAUGUAGUUACACAGAAGUAACUGUUCCAACAUAUACUUGCUUGUAUCCAUAAUGAAGUUAUAUGCAUUUACUGUCUUCUG